GACCUCAAAUCAGGUAAGAGUACCCGCUGAACUUAAGCAUAUCAAUAAGCGGAGGAAAAGAAAAUAACAAUGAUUCCCUUAGUAACGGCGAGUGAAGGGGGAUAAGCUCAAAUUUUAAAUCUGACUAGGUUUUACCUAUCAGAGUUGUAUUUUGAAGAAGCGUUUUCCGCGUCUCGGUUGGCCCAAGUCCUUUGGGAUAAGGUAUCAUGGAGGGUGAGAAUCCCGUUCGGUUGACCUUAUGACGCUUUACGAUACGCUCUCAAAGAGUCGAGUUGUUUGGGAUUGCAGCUCAAAAUGGGAGGUAAAUUUCUCCUAAGGCUAAAUAUCGGCGAGAGACCGAUAGCGAACAAGUACCGUGAGGGAAAGAUGAAAAGAACUUUGAAAAGAGAGUAAAAUAGUACGUGAAAUUGUUGAACAUGGGAAACGAUUGAAG
rnacentral:rRNA from 1 species